rnacentral:rRNA from 1 species
GACGAACGCUGGCGGCGUGGAUUAGGCAUGCAAGUCGAACGGUAUCAUCCUUUCGGGGGUGAGAGAGUGGCGAACUGGUGAGUAACACGUAGGUUAUCUACCCUCAAGACGGGGACAACCCAGGGAAACUUGGGCUAAUACCGGAUGUGAGCAACUUUUAGUUGUUUGAAAGGUGGCGUAAGCUGUCGCUUGGGGAUGAGCCUGCGUCCUAUUAGUUAGUUGGUGAGGUAACGGCUCACCUAGGCAAUGAUAGGUAGGCGGCCUUAACGGGUGGUCGCCCACACUGGGAUUGAGAUACGGCCCAGACUCCUACGGGAGGCAGCAGUCGAGAAUAGUCUACAAUGGUCGGAAGACUGAUAGUGCGACGCCGCGUGAACGAUGAAUCCCUUCGGGGUGUAAAAGUUCUUUUAUAUGUGAGCAGUGCUUCUUAUAUUAACAGUAUGGGGAGAGAGAUAUUAGCAUAUGAAUAAGCAAACGGCUAAACUCCGUGCCAGCAGCCGCGGUAAAAA